rnacentral:rRNA from 1 species
CAGCCGCCGCGGGAAUAUGUAGGUGGCAAGCGUUGUCCGGAAUGAUUGGGCGUAAAGGGCGCGCAGGCGGCUGUGUAAGUCUGUCUAGAAAGUGCGGGGCUAAACCCCGUGAGAGGAUGGAAACUGGACAGCUGAGAGUGUCGGAGAGGAAAGCGGAAUUCCUAGUGUAGCGGUGAAAUGCGUAGAUAUUAGGAGGAACACCGGUGGCGAAAGCGGCUUUCUGGACGACAACUGACGCUGAGGCGCGAAAGCCAGGGGAGCAAACGGGAUUAGAUACCCCAGUAGUCCCUGUCUCUUAUAC